AACGAACGCUGGCGGCAUGCCUAAUACAUGCAAGUCGAACGAUCUCUUCGGAGGUAGUGGCGCACGGGUGCGUAACGCGUGGGAAUCUGCCCUUGGGUUCGGAAUAACGUCGGGAAACUGACGCUAAUACCGGAUGAUGACGUAAGUCCAAAGAUUUAUCGCCCAGGGAUGAGCCCGCGUAGGAUUAGCUAGUUGGUGGGGUAAAGGCCUACCAAGGCGACGAUCCUUAGCUGGUCUGAGAGGAUGAUCAGCCACACUGGGACUGAGACACGGCCCAGACUCCUACGGGAGGCCGCAGUAGGGAAUAUUGGACAAUGGGGGCAACCCUGAUCCAGCAAUGCCGCGUGAGUGAUGAAGGCCUUAGGGUUGUAAAGCUCUUUUACCCGGGAUGAUAAUGACAGUACCGGGAGAAUAAGCCCCGGCUAACUCCGUGCCAGCAGCCGCCGUAA
rnacentral:rRNA from 1 species